UUAAAGGAAGUUGACGGGGGCCCGCACAAGCGGAGGUAACAUGUGGUUAAUUCGAUGAUACGCGAGGAACCUUACCUGGGCUUAAAUGGGAGUGACAGCUGGUGAAAGCCGGUUUUCUUCGGACACUCUUCAAGGUGCUGCAUGGUUGUCGUCAGCUCGUGCCGUGAGGUGUCGGGUUAAGUCCCAUAACGAGCGCAACCCCUAUCGUUAGUUGCCAGCAAGUAAAGUUGGGGACUCUAGCGAGACUGCCGGUGUAAACCGUGAGGAAGGUGGGGAUGACGUCAAAUCAGCACGGCCCUUAUAUCCAGGGCUACACACGUGUUACAAUGGUCGGUACAAAGAGCAGCCACUUGGUGACAAGGCGCUAAUCUCAAAAGCCGAUCUCAGUUCGGAUCGAAGCCUGCAACUCGCCUGCAUGAAGCCGGAAUCGCUAGUAAUCGCGGAUCAGCAUGCCGCGGUGAAUACGUUCCCGGGCCUU
rnacentral:rRNA from 1 species